AUCUAACUGAAGAGUCCCAAAUAGAACGAAAUGAGCAGCCUGGAU
rnacentral:hammerhead_ribozyme from 1 species